GUAGCUCAGUGGUAGAGCAAAGAAAUGUUUUCGGACUUCUUGUCGCGGUUCUAGCGAGACCUCAUCUUCAUCCUGGCGAAUGCCGGUGGAACUACAUCAUUUCUCAUGACCAGGUUACGGGUUCGAAUCCCGUCCGGGCCACCA
rnacentral:tRNA from 1 species